GUCUUUCAGGAUGAAUGCCAUCCACACAAAAGAGCUCCUGUUGACAUCUCAUUUACAAUCUCCCCCAGGACACAGACAAGACCCUUUCAAUAAAUCCAGCUCAGAAACACCUAUUGUUCAAAAUCUUCAACUCGCCACAGGCUACCACCACUCCCUAUGGCUUUGCAAAAUUAAAGAUUUAGAAGAAGGAUGGGGCGGUGGAAGCUAUGAAAAGAGGCAGGAAAAAAGUUCCUUUGACCCGAUGCUGUCAGAGAGCGUGCAUGAAGAAGAAAGUUAAUGGUAUUUCCAUUUAUAUAAGAAGCGCCUAAGAAAUGCCUGUGACGUUCGUGAACUAGUGAUUGUGAAUUCCAAAUUUGAUGCCAACUUUAUGUGUAAAGAAGCUAACUCCUGCCAACAUCGUGGCUGAAUGAACAGCUGGGACUAUGCUUAACCCAUUCCCAGCUUAUAAAAGCCCCAUGGCAGCUGCAGUGAAGCAUCAGAAAAGUAUAGUAAGAAGAAACUGAAUUUGAAGUGGAUUCUUACAAAGGAAAAAGAAAAUCACUAUUAUUAUGUGAUGCAACAAAAUUCAAAUAUGAAAACCAUC
rnacentral:lncRNA from 1 species